GUCAUUCCCCGCUCCACUUGCAUCAGCAUAUGGAAGGGAAUCAUGAGCCACAUAGUCUAUCUUGUGUUUGUCAAUGAACUCCUGUGUAAUCACCCAGGGAGCAUCAGGAAUAACUUCAUCUACCCAUUUGCAGUGCCGGAAGCUCCCCCGUCGUUCGUAGAGCUUGAACGACGGCUUCUUCGGCCCCGGCGGCCGCGCCGCCACCGGGCUUUUCGGCGGCAUCGCUGCGUGCUUGGCGGCCGUUUCAGUGGAGCCGGU
rnacentral:misc_RNA from 1 species